UUAAGGGCGCACGGUGGAUGCCUUGGCACUAGAAGCCGACGAAGGACGUUACUAACGACGAUAUGCUUUGGGUAGCUGUAAGUAAGCGUUGAUCCAGAGAUUUCCGAAUGGGGGAACCCAGCACGAGUUAUGUCGUGUUAUCGACAAGUGAAUUCAUAGCUUGUCAGAAGGCAGACCCGGAGAACUGAAACAUCUUAGUACCCGGAGGAAGAGAAAGAAAAAUCGAUUCCCUGAGUAGCGGCGAGCGAAACGGGAAGAGCCCAAACCAAUAAGCUUGCUUAUUGGGGUUGUAGGACACUCUAUACGGAGUUACAAAGGAAUAUAUUAGACGAAUCAUCUGGAAAGUUGAAUCAAAGAAGGUAAUAAUCCUGUAGUUGAAAAUAUAUUCUCUCUUGAGUGGAUCCUGAGUACGACGGAGCACGUGAAAUUCCGUCGGAAUCUGGGAGGACCAUCUCCUAAGGCUAAAUACUCUCUAGUGACCGAUAGUGAACCAGUACCGUGAGGGAAAGGUGAAAAGUACCCCGGAAGGGGAGUGAAAGAGAACUUGAAACCGUGUGCUUACAAGUAGUCAGAGCCCGUUAAUGGGUGAUGGCGUGCCUUUUGUAGAAUGAACCGGCGAGUUACGAUCUGAUGCAAGGUUAAGCAGGAGAUGUGGAGCCGUAGCGAAAGCGAGUCUGAAUAGGGCGUUGAGUAUUUGGUCGUAGACCCGAAACCAGGUGAUCUACCCAUGGUCAGGUUGAAGUUCAGGUAACACUGAAUGGAGGACCGAACCGACUUACGUUGAAAAGUGAGCGGAUGAACUGUGGGUAGCGGAGAAAUUCCAAUCGAACUUGGAGAUAGCUGGUUCUCUCCGAAAUAGCUUUAGGGCUAGCCUCAAGUGAUGAUUAUUGGAGGUAGAGCACUGUUUGGACGAGGGGCCCCUCUCGGGUUACCGAAUUCAGACAAACUCCGAAUGCCAAUUAAUUUAACUUGGGAGUCAGAACAUGGGUGAUAAGGUCCGUGUUCGAAAGGGAAACAGCCCAGACCACCAGCUAAGGUCCCAAAAUAUAUGUUAAGUGGAAAAGGAUGUGGCGUUGCCCAGACAACUAGGAUGUUGGCUUAGAAGCAGCCAUCAUUUAAAGAGUGCGUAAUAGCUCACUAGUCGAGUGACACUGCGCCGAAAAUGUACCGGGGCUAAACAUAUUACCGAAGCUGUGGAUUGUCCGUAGGACAAUGGUAGGAGAGCGUUCUAAGGGCGUUGAAGCAUGAUCGCAAGGACAUGUGGAGCGCUUAGAAGUGAGAAUGCCGGUGUGAGUAGCGAAAGACGGGUGAGAAUCCCGUCCACCGAUUGACUAAGGUUUCCAGAGGAAGGCUCGUCCGCUCUGGGUUAGUCGGGUCCUAAGCUGAGGCCGACAGGCGUAGGCGAUGGAUAACAGGUUGAUAUUCCUGUACCACCUAGCAUCGCUUUAAUCGAUGGGGGGACGCAGUAGGAUAGGCGAAGCGUACGAUUGGAUUGUACGUCNAAGCAGUGAGAUUGAGUGUUAGGCAAAUCCGGCACUCUUAAGAUUGAGCUGUGAUGGGGAGAGGAAAUUGUUUCCUCGAGUCGUUGAUUUCACACUGCCGAGAAAAGCCUCUAGAUAGAUAAUAGGUGCCCGUACCGCAAACCGACACAGGUAGUCAAGAUGAGAAUUCUAAGGUGAGCGAGCGAACUCUCGUUAAGGAACUCGGCAAAAUGACCCCGUAACUUCGGGAGAAGGGGUGCUCUUUAGGGUGCAAGCCCAGAAGAGCCGCAGUGAAUAGGCCCAAGCGACUGUUUAUCAAAAACACAGGUCUCUGCUAAACCGUAAGGUGAUGUAUAGGGGCUGACGCCUGCCCGGUGCUGGAAGGUUAAGAGGAGUGGUUAGCUUCUGCGAAGCUACGAAUCGAAGCCCCAGUAAACGGCGGCCGUAACUAUAACGGUCCUAAGGUAGCGAAAUUCCUUGUCGGGUAAGUUCCGACCCGCACGAAAGGCGUAACGAUUUGGGCACUGUCUCAACGAGAGACUCGGUGAAAUCAUAGUACCUGUGAAGAUGCAGGUUACCCGCGACAGGACGGAAAGACCCCGUGGAGCUUUACUGUAGCCUGAUAUUGAAAUUCGGCACAGCUUGUACAGGAUAGGUAGGAGCCUUUGAAACGUGAGCGCUAGCUUACGUGGAGGCGCUGGUGGGAUACUACCCUAGCUGUGUUGGCUUUCUAACCCGCACCACUUAUCGUGGUGGGAGACAGUGUCAGGCGGGCAGUUUGACUGGGGCGGUCGCCUCCUAAAAGGUAACGGAGGCGCUCAAAGGUUCCCUCAGAAUGGUUGGAAAUCAUUCAUAGAGUGUAAAGGCAUAAGGGAGCUUGACUGCGAGACCUACAAGUCGAGCAGGGUCGAAAGACGGACUUAGUGAUCCGGUGGUUCCGCAUGGAAGGGCCAUCGCUCAACGGAUAAAAGCUACCCCGGGGAUAACAGGCUUAUCUCCCCCAAGAGUUCACAUCGACGGGGAGGUUUGGCACCUCGAUGUCGGCUCAUCGCAUCCUGGGGCUGUAGUCGGUCCCAAGGGUUGGGCUGUUCGCCCAUUAAAGCGGUACGCGAGCUGGGUUCAGAACGUCGUGAGACAGUUCGGUCCCUAUCCGUCGUGGGCGUAGGAAAUUUGAGAGGAGCUGUCCUUAGUACGAGAGGACCGGGAUGGACAUACCUCUGGUGUACCAGUUGUCGUGCCAACGGCAUAGCUGGGUAGCUAUGUAUGGACGGGAUAAGUGCUGAAAGCAUCUAAGCAUGAAGCCCCCCUCAAGAUGAGAUUUCCCAACUUCGGUUAUAAGAUCCCUCAAAGAUGAUGAGGUUAAUAGGUUCGAGGUGGAAGCGUGGUGACACGUGGAGCUGACGAAUACUAAUCGAUCGAAGACUUAAUC
rnacentral:rRNA from 1 species